AUUAUAUUCAUAUGUGGUGGUCAUGUAGGCAAGUGAUUGUUGUAUGGCAGUGGGCUCAAUUCAUCAUUCAUACAUUAUGUGAUGUCAAAAUGCCUUUAAAACCUGAAGUAAUGUUAUUACAUUAUAAAUGGCCAAAAUUGAAAAAAAUAAAUCAAUUUCUAAUUAUCCAUUGUUUAAUGGCUUGUAAAAUAAUAAUAGCAAGAAAUUGGAAGGGAGAUACCCCUCUUAACAUCAAAUUAAUAAUAAUUCAGUUGGUUUACCAACUCAAAAUGGAGAAGGAUUAUUGCAAGUUCCUGAAGGAUGAAUUGAGCCUAUGGGAAAAUUGGGAGAAAAAAUUAUUACAAUUGUAAAAGGAUUGUUAUUUGAAAAAGUAAAAAAAAAAGAAAAAAAAGAAAAAAAAAAGUUGGAAGUCAGUAGAACUCUUGUGGGGUGGGGGGA